UACGGAGGGGGCUAGCGUUGUUCGGAAUUACUGGGCGUAAAGCGCGCGUAGGCGGCUUUGUAAGUUAGAGGUGAAAGCCCGGAGCUCAACUUCGGAAUUGCCUUUAAGACUGCAUCGCUAGAAUCGUGGAGAGGUGAGUGGAAUUCCGAGUGUAGAGGUGAAAUUCGUAGAUAUUCGGAAGAACACCAGUGGCGAAGGCGGCUGACUGGACAUGUAUUGACGCUGAGGUGCGAAAGCGUGGGGAGCAAACAGG
rnacentral:rRNA from 1 species